GGGUUUGCAGAGCGCUUUCAUCUGCCCGACGCGGAAAUCUCCCGCAGCGAUCUUCUACCUUUAACGGGCAGCCGCAGCACCCAGAAGGCAUGUUAAAGAGAGAUUGAGAACCGCCAGCAAAACUACUGAUUCAAGACCAUCAAUCUUCAGAUGAUCAUGCAACAGGGUUUCCAGCCAGUUCCAAAUGAAGACAGCACCCCGGCCACCAAGAAACUACUCUGUUGGCCGGGUGCAGUGGCUCACGCCUGUAAUCCCAGCACUUUGGGAGGCUGAGUGUCUCACUAUUUUGCCAAGGCUGGAGUGCAGUGGCAUGAUCAUGGCGCACUGCAACCUCAAACUCCUGGGCUCGAGUGAUCCUUCCACCUCAACCUUCCGAGUAGCUGUGGCACAGGCAGAAAUGCAACUAUAGUUUCUCAAGUGUCUUCAGCUUGAAACGUUCAGAAUACUAAUUCAGCAGAUUUUGGAGUGGCACAUCCUUCACUCCUUCACUAUGAAUUCAUCUCACAGAAAUGAAAAGGUAACUGACUUUGCUGUUAGAAGUCCUUGAAUUUCAAAAUAAAAGUCCUGGGCUUAAAAAGUCUGAAUGUUAUGCUGUGUGUUUUUUGCCUCCGAGUUUUUCGUUUCAGACUAAAGUAGCUAGGGUUAUAAGUAAUAUAAGAAGUGUGAUGGCUUUGUACUCUGUCGACUUAGCUAAAUUCAAACUAAGCAUCCCAGCUUCCUUCCCUGAAUGAUUCUAAAUUACAGUUCAUCACGGGAGAAACAUGAACAAGUUUUAGAAGCCACAAGUGAAGCA